AGUGAACGCUGGCGGUAGGCCUAACACAUGCAAGUCGAACGAGUGGCGGACGGGUGAGGAAUUCAUCGGAAUCUACCCUGUCGUGGGGGAUAACGUAGGGAAACUUACGCUAAUACCGCAUACGACUGUAUGAGCCUAUGUCGGAUUAGCUAGUUGGCGGGGUAAAGGCCCACCAAGGCGACGAUCCGUAGCUGGUCUGAGAGGAUGAUCAGCCACCCUGGAACUGAGACACGGUCCAGACUCCGACGGGAGGCGGCAGUGGGGAAUAUUGGGCAAUGGGCGCAAGCCUGAUCCAGCCAUACCGCGUGGGUGAAGAAGGCCUUCGGGUUGUAAAGCCCUUUUGUUGGGAAAGCGGUACCCAAAGAAUAAGCACCGGCUAACUUCGUGCCAGCAGCCGCGGUAAUUC
rnacentral:rRNA from 1 species